GACGUAGGGCGCGAGCGUUGUCCGGAUUUAUUGGGCGUAAAGAGCUCGUAGGCGGCUUGUCGCGUCGGCUGUGAAAACCCGUGGCUCAACUGUGGGCGGGCAGCUGAUACGGGCAGGCUGGAGUUCGGUAGGGGAGACGUGGAAUUCCUGGUGUGAGCGGUGAAAUGCGCAGAUAUCAGGAGGAACACCCGUGGCGAAAGCGGCUCUCUGGGACGGUACUGACGCUGAGACGCGAAAGCGUGGGGAGCAAACAGG
rnacentral:rRNA from 1 species